UACGUAGGGACCAAGCGUUGUUCGGAAUUACUGGGCGUAAAGCGCACGUAGGCGGAUUGUUAAGUCAGAGGUGAAAUCCCGGAGCUCAACUUCGGAACUGCCUUUGAUACUGGCAAUCUCGAGUCCGGAAGAGGUUAGUGGAAUUCCCAGUGUAGAGGUGAAAUUCGUAGAUAUUGGGAAGAACACCAGUGGCGAAGGCGGCUAACUGGUCCGGUACUGACGCUGAGGUGCGAAAGCGUGGGGAGCAAACCGG
rnacentral:rRNA from 1 species